CGCUGCGCUGGGAGUGAGAGGGGGUCAGGAUUUCCCCGCUGCCGUUUGUGACCCCGGGGGAUUUCUCAGGGUUCCGAAAACAACACAGCCCUGGCCGGGAGGGAUACGGGCCGGAGGAUGCCAGAUGUUUUGAAUUCUUUGAAAUCUCUAAGCAUCUAGAAAAAAUAAUCAUGCGGAGAGCCGGUUGGUGGCUUCCCACAGUGAAAGUGCUGGCCGUGCUCUGCUCCCCCAGCACCUGACACAGCAGUGUGCCUGUGGAAAAUGCUCGAGGGACAGCAAAUGAACGAAGCAUUCGAAGAUGUGUUGAACCACGUUUGAAC
rnacentral:lncRNA from 1 species